AUUUGAAAUUUGUGUUGGCAAAUGUUCUGAUAAUCAAUUUUUGAUUUGUUUGAGGCGAUCAUGCUGCAAUUAUGUAUGAAGUACAAGAAUUGUGAGGCAUUUCGAUGACUAGAAUGAAGCAUAUGAGUAUCCUGUGAAAAUUUUACCAGGCAACAUCGACUGCAUGAUGCUUUGAAUUCAGCUUCAUCUAACGGUGUUAAGACUGACCAGAAUAACAUAGCUAUUGAAUGAAAUUGAGAUUGUAUGUGUGAGGAUGAGGCAUGCUGCCAUGAAUUUGAUAUAAUGGUUGUGCAAUGGGAACCGCGAAAAGGCUAUUUCAACUUGUAAACGGGACUAUUUGUGCCUGCAGUCAAAAAUUUGUUAGCUGGUAAUUGCAUUUACUGGUAAAAGAACUAUUCGCAUGUUAAUCACGCUUGCAUACCAAUUUUUUUGUAAUGGCUAUGAUCUGAAGAUGCUGGUAGGUAAGGUUACCAAAGACAUUGUUUUCAUUUUUCCCCGCAAGAUCCAUGUGUGCAGCUGAAAUUGUUAUUACUUCUGACUUAAGCUUUCUAUGAGAUGUAAUGAUUGGUUAAGAAGAUGGACAUAAGGAAAUGAAAAAUACGCAUUUAACUUCUCUUUCGUUUCCAGUUGGCAUUAGUAAAUACACUAGCCAACGGAAAAAUAAAAAUAAAUAAAAUUACGUUACGUAUCUGCUAAGAAAAUUAAGCGACUUAAUGUACACGGUGAUGAUAUUGCCAUUUAGCUGUUUCGUCUUUGUAGUGUUCUACAAGAACAAUUGAAACUGUAGAUCUGGGUUAAUUUGAUUAGUCACGCUGAUUCUUCUUGAUAUAUGAUAAAACCGUAGGAGGAUAUGAAGUAAGUGAUUAGUAGUAAAGAUGUUAUAAUGCGAUGUGUUUGUAAACGGAAUGUAGGAGUUUUUAUUUUUCUCUUCUGCGGGUGAUUAUUAGCCACUAACCAUAUGAUCUAUCUAAUGGUCAUGUAGUUAAACAGGAGGUAAUAAAUUCAAUUAGAGAAAUAUUGGAUAGUUAACGUGGGAGGAUUUUCCGAAUUCUUCUAUGUGUAAAAUCGUCCUUAUCUGUAUAAAUUAAAGUAUAUUAAAAUACCCAUUCACAUUAAAUAUAUAGCUACCUUGCGAAAAUAGCAAUUAAGAUAUGUUAUUGGUGUUGAUUGUUGCGGAAUUAAAAAGAAUCUAAAAGAUCGUGUACAUUCUACGUGAUGUCAUAUUAAUGUUGGAGUUUUUUAAAAAAUUCUAUUGAAAUAAUGUAAAAUGGUAAUGACUAAAUUUGAAAGAUAAACGCUUCGAUAUCCCAU